rnacentral:rRNA from 1 species
AGCGAACGCUGGCGGCAGGCCUAACACAUGCAAGUCGAACGAACCUUUCGGGGUUAGUGGCGGACGGGUGAGUAACACGUGGGAACGUGCCUUUAGGCUCGGAAUAACUCAGGGAAACUUGUGCUAAUACCGAAUGUGUCCUUCGGGGGAAAGAUUUAUCGCCGUUAGAGCGGCCCGCGUCUGUUUAGCUAGUUGGUUGAGGUAAUGGCUCACUAAGGCGACGAUCAGUAGCUGGUCUGAGAGGAUGAUCAGCCACAUUGGGACUGAGACACGGCCCAUAAUCCUACGGGAGGCAGCAGUGGGGAAUCUUGCGAAAUGGGCGAAAGCCUGACGCAGCCAUGCCGCGUGAAUGAUGAAGGUCUUAGGAUUGUAAAAUUCUUUCACCGGGGACGAUAAUGACGGUACCCGGAGAAGAAGCCCCGGCUAACUUCGUG